rnacentral:lncRNA from 1 species
AGGAAGUUAAUCCGAUCUUUCAACUGGAGCGAAUCUAGGUGGUACCUUUCCUGAGCCAGUAAUCAAACACCGACAGGAUAGCCUCCUGGUGGAGGAACCACACAACAUACAUUCACAUGCAACGUGUCUCACCGUUAUGGGAAUGAUGACAUUUGCGAAGCACUAAUAUCACAGGUAUAUUGCAGUGCAGUAAGUAAAAUGCAUUCGUACACAUUCAUCCAAAUGUAAAUGCAACAUCCACACACAAGCAUAUAAAAGUUUUGAAAAGCUUGUAGUAGCGGCUUAAAUCCUC